GUGCUGGGAAUACAGAGCUUAAAUAGGUAAAGGAAAGAAAUAGCUUCUGACCCCAAGAAACUUGAAAGAUAAAGGGAAAGACAACAAGCAAACAAACAUGAUAAUGGAGAGCCGAUAUCCUGCUGCAGAGCACGUUGGCCAGGCCACCGCUAACUUAUGGCAUGACUCCAGAGAUCAUUAGAGUGACGAUGGGGCCUCUUUUUCAUCAUUUGGCCAAGAACUUUUCAAAGCCUCAUGCUAGUGUUGCCUGCAGCAUCUGGAACUCGGAGCAUAUCUUGGGACAUCUUGCUCAUGGCACCAUGAGAAGCUGAUGGCACGUCGGAGGCAGGAAAAGAAGGGGAAACUGUAGGUGCAGGGAUGAGUCCACAAUCCCCCAAAUCCUUCAUGCCAAGACAUGCCGAAGUCAGGUACCCCUCUCCCUCCUUCUACACACCCAGCUCAUACCCGCUGCCUUCGAGGCCAUCUGGAUCCUGCCAGCAACAGGCCCAUUCUGCAGUUAAAGCGGCUGAAAAGUAGAAAAAAGCACCCAAUUUAGACCAAUUUGGACCAUAACAACUGAAUCCAGACCUUGGUUCCGCAGAAUCCUGAAAAACUUCGUACACGACUGGCUUAUCAAUCAUUCGCUCACUGGCAUGAAGUCGUUUGAUCACUGUGCCUCCCAGGGUGUCGCUCCGACCAGCUAUCUUGAAGACUGUGGAGUUUUGUUUGAGGGGGAGGCUGUCCUAUCAGAUCGUACAUCCACCAGGCAAAGCCUCACAUGCUUAGGCCCAGAUGGAACGAGUCAGGAGGGGAUCCCCAGACUGGAAGGCCUAAUAGGAAUUCGGUAAAUUCUUCCUUUUAUUUCUCUUUCCCUAUUGGAAUAGCAAGAAAAUGUGGUCUGGGGAAAGAUGCUGAAAAUACUGCAGUUGGUAUCCACAUGUCACCACUCAGACGGUGUACUGUAGAACCAAAAACAAAACAAAACAAAAAAGAUGCUAUUGGCAAGUAGACUCAAGUCAGUCCAAUGUAACUCAGAGGGUCUAUAGCGUUUUUGAAGAGUUAAUAUGUAUUAUAAACCCUUUCUCUACUCUUUACUGUCCUAUAACCUAUCUAAGUUGAUAAAAUGUUUAAAAAACUUUCCCCCUGUAUUCAGUGUAUGUUCAUUCUUUCUCCCUCUGCGAGCUUCUCAAAUUCAGAUCAGAACUUUAUGAUUCUUACCUCCUUCCAAUAUCCGCCAGACACAUCAUCCCUUCCCACACUGACACCUUCUGGCGCAUAACACUUCUAUGUAUGUAGAAGUAAUCGGAACAAAUCAUUGUUUACAGAAACAAAAUAAAUCUUAGAUUUAUACA